rnacentral:rRNA from 1 species
UUGAUAUUACCUUACUAUAAGUGUUGUCUAAAUAACUGGUGCCAGAAGACUCGGUAACACCAGAAACGCGAACGUUAGUCGUCUUAAACAGGCGUAAAGGGUAAGUAGGCUGCUUUAAAAGUUUAUUUUUAAAAUAAAGAUAGAUAUACUUAAAGCUAGAAUCAUAAUUGAGAUAAACCAAAUAAUACUUAAGUGUAAGGGUAAAAUCUAAAAAUACUAAGUAGAAUACUAACGGUGAAAACUUUUUAUCUAGGAGUGAUUGACGCUGAGGUACGAAAGUGAGAACAGGGAAUAGGAUUAGAUACCCAGUUACCUCUCACCGUCAACGAUGAAUGGUAGUUGUUAGUAGUAAGUCUCGUUAGUUUAAUUUAUUAAUAAAACUUAACUAACUCAACUUCAAUUAAAACUAGUGACGAUGUUAACGCGAUAACCAUUCCGCCUUGAGAGUACGGUUGCAAAACUGAAACCAAAAAAAUUAGUCGGUCUCGGAGC